AGACCAAAACUGCAAGAGCAAGUGUUCCCCAUGCCAACAUGUGUCAUCUGCCAACUCCAGGGACAAGGAAGUUCUGGAAAAAGACAGGUAGACAAAAGACUAGCCUGCUCUUCAAAAGGUGCAAAAAUUCAAAGAAUUCUUACAGUAAAAGGAAUCUUCUAAUGUUUUGGCAGUCAUGGUUUUAUUGGCAUUUCAGACUAACAUUUCUCAACUCCUUUCAUCCUGCUUUGUUUAAACCAAAGAAGAUCUUGAGAGAAGGCCAGAAGAGCUAUGGGCAGACAUAAAAAGAAAAAUUUAAUCAUCAUGAAGUCCCCUGUUUGUUUUCCCUUAUUACUUCACAAGAGACUCUGGAUGCCUGGUUCACAGGAAGACAAAAAAUCACAAUUUUUCCUGUCUGAUUUCUGAUGAACAGUGUUGAUGAAACCCCAGGAUCCUAAAGCUGCAAAUGGCACAGAAAAUCAGGUAU